rnacentral:lncRNA from 1 species
CGUCUGCUCUGCGCAUUAAUAGUAAUACAGAUAACGGGUUUGAAAGAAUUCUCUACUGAAGAAGGAUUGAAAAUUUUCCAGUGGCUGAUACUGAGAAGGAACGCAACUUUACUCUCUCCCUAUUUCCGCGUUCUUGGGUGUAAAAGUCUCAGACAGCCUGUUUUUGGUUGAAACUCGGCAAGGUCUCCGUGGACAGCAAAGUUGGAGGGCUGCUCCUGCACCACCGAGCCGCUAGAUUUCUGAACACAGUCUUGCCCAAGGAUAACACAAAUCUGUGUCACUGGCUGGGUGUAAUGCAAGGAAGGGACAAAGAUGAAAUGGAAACAUCUUCCUUUUUUGGUCAUAAUAUCACUCCUCAGAGUGUCAAACCACAACCUGCUUCUGGCCCAGCUUAUUCCAGACUGGCCACUUUUAACAGUGAAUAACAGCUAGCCAAAUGAGUGGUUGCAUUGUGCCAUGAAAAAUAAAUUCAACUGAUGAAUGACUUAUACUAACAAUCACGUGCUCUUCAACUUUAAUCUGCCUAUGACUGUGUGCCUUCAACAUCAUCAGGAAAAUCAUU